ACUCUGAACCCAUGUUCCGCUGACUUGAGGUCAGCAACAUGCCCAGGUAGCCAUCGACCUCCAAGGCUACGGUGCGGUUCGCCGCACAGGUCGUUGUUCAUCCCCGGCGCAUCCCGCGCCAUUUACCUCAACCCACCAGGGGCUCCCAACCCCGGUGGCGG
rfam:Roseateles aquatilis strain CCTG 48205 Scaffold3_1, whole genome shotgun sequence.